CAAAACUCCUUGCUAGGAUAGCGAGUUCCUACAACAAGCCAAUGCUGUACCCUUGCUGCCGGGCUGACCGUAGGAUGUUUUCGUGGUUUUCUACUUCAUAUAACUCAAAUGUGGAUAAAUUCCAUUAAAAAGUCCUUCCUGAAGGCUAGUUUGUCCCAAUGCAUGACCGCAUAUUGGAGCUGACAUUGGCUACGGAUUAAACGUUCAAGGAGGACUAGAAAAUAAAAUUAGCUGAUGUUUAAAGAUUGAUGCUAUGAAAAAAACAGAAAGAGGAACGAGAAAUGGAAUUAGAGAUACAAGAAAAGGAACUGAAUGAAAAGCGGAUGGAAUUGAAUGAGUUAAAGAAAGAAGAGUCUGAGAUGGAAAGCAAACUCAAUUCAAGCAAAACUCAACUUGAUGCAUUGACUUCUUCUUUACAAAGUAGCACCCUUCAGAUAAGUCAAAUUAAAAUUAAAAUUGACCAAAUACAAGAGCAACAUAGGUUAAAAGAGUGAAGCUAUCAAGGAUAUAGAUAAUGUGCUUUCUUUUGUUGAUUUCCAAAAUAUAUCAAACUUUACUAUGUAUGGCUUUUCUACACCUAAUGAUGACAGAGCCUAUAUUUCACCAACAUGUCCCAAAACCCUUUGAUGAAGUUGGACCAGCUGUAACUACACCUCUCAAUGAUUUUCA